rnacentral:rRNA from 1 species
UCCGAAGAGAUUUGGGAGUGCUCGCAAGAGAACCGGACACAGGUGCUGCAUGGCUGUCGUCAGCUCGUGUCGUGAGAUGUUGGGUUAAGUCCCGCAACGAGCGCAACCCUUGUCAUUUAGUUGUCCAUCAUUUGGUUGGGCACUCUAAUGAGACUGCCGGUGACAAACCGGAGGAAGGUGGGGAUGACGUCAAGUCCUCAUGGCCCUUAUGGGUAGGGCUUCACACGUCAUACAAUGGUCGGUACAGAGGGUUGCCAACCCGCGAGGGGGAGCUAAUCCCACAAAGCCGAUCGUAGUCCGGAUCGCAGUCUGCAACUCGACUGCGUGAAGUCGGAAUCGCUAGUAAUCGUGGAUCAGCAUGUCACGGUGAAUACGUUCCCGGGUCUU